GGUUUGAUCCUGGCUCAGAUUGAACGCUGGCGGGAUGUACUUUACACGCCAGUCGAACGGCAGCACGGACUUCGGUCUGGUGGCGAGUGGCGAACGGGUGAGUAAUGUAUCGGAACGUGCCUAGUAGCGGGGGAUAACUACGCGAGACGUAGCUAAUGCUACAUACGCCCUUCGGGGAAAGCGGGGGGACCUUCGGGCCUCGCACUAUUAAAAACGGCCGAUAUCGGAUUAGCUAGUUGGUGGGGUGAAAACGGCUCACCAAGGCGACGAUCCGUAGCUGGUUUGAGAGGACGACCAGCCACACUGGGACUGAGACACGGCCCAGACUCCUGCAGGAGGCAGCAGUGGGGAAUUUUGGACAAUCAGGGGAAACCCUGAUCCAGCAGCAUGCAUCACGUGUGCGAUGAAGGCCUUCGGGUUGUAAAGCACUUUUGGCAGGAAAGAAACGGCACGGGAUAAUACGUGCAACUGACGAUACCUGCAGAAUAAGCACCCGGCUAACUACGUGCCAGCACCAGCCGCGGUAAUACGUAGGGUGCAAGCGUUAAUCGGAAUUACUGGGCGUAAAGCGUGCGCAGGCGGUUCAGGCGAAAGAUGUGAAAUCCCAGAGCUUAACUUUGGAACUGCAUUUUUAACUACCGAGCUAGAGUGUCAGAGGGAGGUGGAAUUCCGCGUGUAGCAGUGAAAUGCGUAGAUAUGCGGAGGAGGAACACCGAUAGCGAAGCAGCCUCCUGGGAUAACACUGACGCUCAUGCACGAAAAGCGUGGGGAGCAAACGGGAUUAGAUACCCUGGUAGUCCACGCCCUAAACGAUGUCAACUAGCUGUUGGGGCCUUCGGGCCUUGGUAGCGCAGCUAACGCGUGAAGUUGACCGCCCAACUGGGAAUUACGGUCGCAAGAUUUAAAACUCAAAGGAAUUGACGGGGACCCGCACAAGCGGUGGAUGAUGUGGAUUAAUUCGAUGCAGCACCCGAAAAACCUUACCUACCCUUGACAUGUCUGAGAUAAAGAGAUUUGGGAGUGCUCGCAAGAGAACCGGAACACAGGUGCUGCAUGGCUGUCGUCAGCUCGUGUCGUGAGAUGUUGGGUUAAGUCCGCAACGAGCACAACCCUUGUCAUUAGUUGCUACGAAAGGGCACUCUAAUGAGACUGCCGGUGACAAACCGGAGGAAGGUGGGGAUGACGUCAAGUCCUCAUGGCCCUUAUGGGUAGGGCUUCACACGUCAUACAAUGGUCGGGACAGAGGGUCGCCAACCCGCGAGGGGAGGCCAAUCGAAACCCGAUCGUGAUCCGGAUCGCAGUCUGCAACUCAUUGCGUGAAGUCGGAAUCGCUAGUAAUCGCGGAUCAGCAUGUCGCGGUGAAUACCGUUCCCGAGGUCUUAGCCACACACCGCCCGUCACACCAUGGGAGUGGGUUUACCAGAAGUAGUUAGCCUAACCGUAAGGGGGCGAUUACCACGGUAGGAUUCAUGACUGGGAUGAAGUCGUAACAAAGGUAG
rnacentral:rRNA from 1 species